rnacentral:rRNA from 1 species
UACUCUUUUUAUGUUGGUGUAUGUCUGGUUUAAUAUUAUUGUUUAGUAAUGUAAGUUUGUGUAGUUUUAGUUAAGCUAAGUCUAUGUGCUGCUUAUAAGAGUUUUUGUGUGUUACAUUGAUAGGAAUAUUGUUGUAAUAUGG